rnacentral:rRNA from 1 species
CGGUGUUUAACUGGCGUGAUGUGGGACGUCCUACCGGUGGGCUUAGCCUCGCGAGGGGCGGCCCAACUAAUAUCCCGUCGCGGUGCUCUUUACUGAGUGUCGAGUCGGGCCGGUACGUUUACUUUGAACAAAUUAGAGUGCUUAAAGCAGGCUAUCCUCGCCUGAAUACUGCGUGCAUGGAAUAAUGGAAUAGGACCUCGGUUCUAUUUUGUUGGUUUUCGGAACCCCCGAGGUAAUGAUUAAUAGGGACAGAUGGGGGCAUUCGUAUUGCGACGUUAGAGGUGAAAUUCUUGGAUCGUCGCAAGACGGACAGAAGCGAAAGCAUUUGCCAAAAAUGUUUUCAUUAAUCAAGAACGAAAGUUAGAGGUUCGAAGGCGAUCAGAUACCGCCCUAGUUCUAACCAUAAACGAUGCCAGCUAGCGAUCCGCCGAAGUUCCUCCGAUGACUCGGCGGGCAGCUUCCGGGAAACCAAAGCUUUUGGGUUCCGGGGGAAGUAUGGUUGCAAAGCUGAAACUUAAAGGAAUUGACGGAAGGGCACCACCAGGAGUGGAGCCUGCGGCUUAAUUUGACUCAACACGGGAAACCUCACCAGGCCCAGACACCGGAAGGAUUGACAGAUUGAUAGCUCUUUCUUGAUUCGGUGGGUGGUGGUGCAUGGGCCGUUCUUAGUUGGUGGAGCGAUUUGUCUGGUUAAUUCCGAUAACGAACGAGACUCUAGCCUGCUAAAUAGGCGUACCUUAUGGUAUCGCGAAGGCCCCCGGCUUCGGCCGGUGGGUUUUUACUACCAACGUACAAACAAAUCUUCUUAGAGGGACAGGCGG